rnacentral:misc_RNA from 1 species
GACAGGAUGAGCAAGAAAGAAGAAGAUAGAGAUUACAGAGGGCAGGGCAGACGAACUGCAGAAAUGAAGAAACUAAAGAAGAAGUAAAAAUUAAUCGGUGGUGAUGUGUACUCCGAUGACGAUGACAAAGAGGGUGAUGAGGGCGAAGUAGAUGAUGGAGUGGACGACGAUGGACAUGGCGCUGGUGUGCAGGUUGCCGAACUCGACGAAGUGGUGCCUCCCGGGGAGCUGGAUGAGCAGCCCCGGCGAGAGCAGCACGAACAGCACCACCGCG